AGGAUGAACGCUGGCGGCGUGCCUAACACAUGCAAGUCGAACGUCCUGUCUCGCAAGAGGCAGGGAGUGGCGGACGGGUGAGUACCACGUGGGUCAUCUACCGUGAGGUGAGGAAUACCGGCGAGAAAUCGCCGACAAGACCGCAUAGGCUCGAUGCAAGUCGAGCAAAGCUCUCUCGAGAGAGGGAGCGCCACACGAGGAGCCUGCGCCCGAUUAGCUAGCUGGUGGAGUAAUGGUUCACCAGGGCGACGAUCGGUAGCUGGUCUGAGAGGACGAUCAGCCACACUGGGAUUGAGAACGGCCCAGACUCCUACGGGGGCAGCAGUGAGGAAUUUCGUCAAUGGGGGCAACCCUGAACGAGCAACGCCGCGUGCAGGAAGAAGGUUUUCGGAUCGUAAACUGCUUUUCUCGGGGAAGAGAACGGACGGUACCCGAGGAAUCGAGCCCCGGCUAACUACGUGCCAGCAGCCGC
rnacentral:rRNA from 1 species